rnacentral:rRNA from 1 species
AGUGAACGCUGGCGGUAGGCCUAACACAUGCAAGUCGAACGGCAGCACAGGAGAGCUUGCUCUCUGGGUGGCGAGUGGCGGACGGGUGUGGAAUACAUCGGAAUCUACUCUGUCGUGGGGGAUAACGUAGGGAAACUUACGCUAAUACCGCAUACGACCUACGGGUGAAAGCAGGGGACCUUCGGGCCUUGCGCGAUUGAAUGAGCCGAUGUCGGAUUAGCUAGUUGGCGGGGUAAAGGCCCACCAAGGCGACGAUCCGUAGCUGGCCUGAGAGGAUGAUCAGCCACACUGGAACUGGGACACGGUCCAGACUCCUACGGGCGGCAGCAGUGGGGAAUAUUGGACAAUGGGCGCAAGCCUGAUCCAGCCAUACCGCGUGGGUGAAGAAGGCCUUCGGGUUGUAAGGCCCUUUUGUUGGGAAAGAAAUCCAGCUGGCUAAUACCCGGUUGGGAUGACGGUACCCAAAGAAUAAGCACCGGCUAACUUCGUGCCAGCCGCCGCAGUAA